CAUCCAUCCAUCCGCUCGUCGCCUCGGCUUUCUUUUGCACUGUCUGGCGUUAUCGGAGGCCUUCAGCCAGCACCGGGAGAAGAGAUACGUGGAGGAAGUGGGGCACGGCAAGGGAUCCCCGCCGGGCGUGGAGAGCGCUGCUUAAUCCAACAAACUACUGACGCUAGACGGAGAGGGAGGGGGGCUGUACAUGCACCGACACAUGCACCCCGAAAGCCAUGUGCAUUGCACUUCUCCGUCAUAUUCGAAAGCACCGGGACUUUGUCUGUAAACCGCAGAACAUCAUUUGUUAGUUGCAUAAACGGGCAAUGGCGCUAAAGCGAAUUCAGAAGUCUACCCAAACACAGACUAGCCCUUCAGAGUUGGUUUAAUGCAGAGGUCUCCAACUCCAGUCCUGGAGAGUGAAGGGGGGGCAGGCUUUGUGCUAAACUUUGUCACACUAAGAAAUGGGAACAAAGUGGAACACAGGCAGGAAGAAGAGGGGGGCCUCAGCCCUUCUCAUAAUGAGCUGACGGAUUUACAGCGUGACCCUCCGGCGCAGUGCUCAGCUGGUCCGGUUGGGGAGGACUUGUUCCACUGGCAGGCCACCAUCAUGGGACCGAAUGACAGUCCCUUUCAGGGUGGUGUCUUCUUCCUGACUAUACACUUCCCCACGGAUUACCCUUUUAAACCACCAAAGGUGGUCUUCACCACUAAAAUCUUCCACCCCAACAUCAACAGCAAUGGCAGUAUUUGUCUGGAUAUCUUGCGAUCCCAGUGGUCCCCAGCCCUCACGGUCUCCAAAGUCCUGCUGUCAAUCUGCUCGCUGCUGUGUGACCCAAACCCCGACGACCCACUGGUGCCAGAGAUCGCCCACACCUACAAGGCAGACAGAGAGAAGUGAGCGACGUCCCGCUGCCCGCUCUGGCUCUUUCACCUGUCCCCAUGCUCAGUGACCUCUCCAGGGCUAGGUACAACCGACUGGCUAUGGAAUGGACACAGAAGUACGCAAUGUGAGGAAGGGACCUGGUGUCAGUGAACUGAAGAGCUGGGAAUACAAAACAUUUUAGCUGUGAACACUGGCAAACGGAACCGACAGACUGAGCUGUGGGGGUCAGGAGUGAAAAUGCAGGACCAGUCAUGUUCUGUAGGGGGUGUUUCCCCCAAUAUACCCCCCAGCGCAUCUCAUUGGCUGACACUCACAGGUCUGCCAUGUGAGGACAGCAGGACACCUUGCCAAAGUGCAGCAUGACCUUUGACCUCCUGUGAGUGACAUGGGUUGCCCUCCGUAGAGAGACAAUUGGCUCUAUGAUUGUUAUCUAUAUUAUAAAUAUUUAUUUAAAUAGAGAA